rfam:Picea glauca, whole genome shotgun sequence.
AAUGUAAUGCCUACAAUGUUAAUGCACCAGAUCCCAUUAGAAAUCCUUAGUUAAGAACACUUGGGAUUAAGUAGUACUAGAAUGGGUGACCUACUAGGAAUUCCUAGUGAUUUACAUUU